UGUAAUUCAGUCGAGCAAAACGCUAGAGCGUCCGACUCACCAUAACCAAUCCUACUUAUUUCCUGCAACAAAUUAUUAACAAGUACUCAAUCUCAUUGAUAGUCAAAUUUCCCUAACACAUGUAAUAUCUAUGGCAUCUAGACUAUUACAUAUAUCUCAAUUUGCAACCAUCCAUGGCAUCUGGAAUAGUUUAACAUCAUGAAACUCAUUACGAUCACUGGAAAUUUAUAUAAAGACUACACAAAUCCUAGAGUAUGGCAUCUACUACUAGGUAAUUCAUGGUAUCUAUUUGCAAGAAGCUAUCACUCAAGUUGAAAACAUGGCAUCUGCACAACUUGCAUCAAAUUUACCAAGUAAAAGUCAAGAUGGUAGCUAAUCACCAAGACUAAAACCAAGCAUAUAAACACAGCAAACGAUACUCAAUGAAAUUGAAAACUUGAAAUAAUUCACUUCAGAAAUUAAGCAUUCAUAGUCAUGGCUACAUCGUAGCCCUAGCUAAGGAAAAUUAGUUCCGAAACAUAAUUGGAAAUAUCAUUGAAUUCAUAA
rnacentral:lncRNA from 1 species